ACGCACGCUGGCGGCGUGCUUCACACAUGCAAGUCGCACGGAAAGGCCCUGCUUUUGUGGGGUGCUCGAGUGGCGAACGGGUGAGUAACACGUGAGUAACCUGCCCUUGACUUUGGGAUAACUUCAGGAAACUGGGGCUAAUACCGGAUAGGAGCUCCUGCUGCAUGGUGGGGGUUGGAAAGUUUCGGCGGUUGGGGAUGGACUCGCGGCUUAUCAGCUUGUUGGUGGGGUAGUGGCUUACCAAGGCUUUGACGGGUAGCCGGCCUGAGAGGGUGACCGGCCACAUUGGGACUGAGAUACGGCCCAGACUCCUACGGGAGGCAGCAGUGGGGAAUAUUGCACAAUGGGCGGAAGCCUGAUGCAGCAACGCCGCGUGCGGGAUGACGGCCUUCGGGUUGUAAACCGCUUUCGCCUGUGACGAAGCGUGAGUGACGGUAAUGGGUAAAGAAGCACCGGCUAACUACGU
rnacentral:rRNA from 1 species